GGGAAUAUCCAGAAUUCCUGAUAAAUACUGGUAAUAAAUCAGUAUCUUAUCCGUAUAUACGUGCUGACUUUUAAUCAGGUGGUCGUUGGUUCGAUUCCAACACGGCCCACCA
rnacentral:tRNA from 1 species